CCUGGGUCUGUAAGAGGGAUGGCUGCGCUCUGCCUAAAGCAAGGCUGUUCCUUAAAUGAAGUCAGCUUCAAGCUCGAUCAGGAAACUCCAGAAAAACGGUUCGCCGGUAGGCGGGAAGACUGACGUUAGCAUGGCGUUAGGAGCCACGGAUGAAGCAAGCUGCCCCCGGAGACCAGCAUGGACCUUGCUUCCUGCUCGCUGCAUUGGCUGCCUGUCUGCUCCCAUGACCUAUAUGAUGGGCACAAUGACUGCCUCACCACCAGCUGCACUCUGUGCAUGUAAUUCUGAAGCACCAGAAAAGUCUGAAGGCAGAGAAUACCGACGUGCUGUUCGAACUUAACACAGCUUCAGUGUAAGAUUUGGGUUGUAUGUGCAAGCAGAAAACAUUUUGCUUCAAGGUGUGUGCCACAGUGGGAUCAUCAGAACUUACUAGAUUGAGUGCACGGAUCAGGAAACUGUUGUGCUGGGUUUGGAGUAACAAUACAGAAUUCAGA
rnacentral:lncRNA from 1 species